CGGUACAUCGGUGGACAGGUGGUGCAUGGUUGUCGUCAGCUCGUGUCGUGAGAUGUUGGGUUAAGUCCCGCAACGAGCGCAACCCCUAUUGUUAGUUGCCAUCAUUCAGUUGGGCACUCUAGCGAGACUGCCGGUAAUAAACCGGAGGAAGGUGGGGAUGACGUCAAAUCAUCAUGCCCCUUAUGACCUGGGCUACACACGUGCUACAAUGGUUGGUACAACGAGUUGCGAGUCGGUGACGGCGAGCUAAUCUCUUAAAGCCAAUCUCAGUUCGGAUUGUAGGCUGCAACUCGCCUACAUGAAGUCGGAAUCGCUAGUAAUCGCGGAUCAGCACGCCGCGGUGAAUACGUUCCCGGGCCUU
rnacentral:rRNA from 1 species